ACAGACUGAUUAGAGGAUGUGGUGACAGGACUCACAGCCACUUACAUAGUUGCAUUUUGGAAAUGAGCAAAGGCAUGAGAGGUGAAUUACACAGGCGUACAUCACACAGAAGGAUGGGUGAGCCUCAUUCAUACAAAUGACUAAAAAAGAAUGCAGACUGAACCACCAUCUCACAGGACCUGCAUGGCACCCGAGGGCUCACAGCUGAAAUGGUUGUAAGUUCAAUAAAACAAGAUUCUGCAAUCAAAUAUCAAUACAAAUGAAUAUUAAAACAAACGAAAGCAAGUUUCUUACUAUUUCUGAAUCUUCUGUCAGCUAACAAAUUUGUUUGAGGUUGGUCUUUAGAUUCAACAGUCAUCAAGGAAGACUGAUAGAAAUAUUGGUGAACAAAUGGUUUCUCAUCCCAAACUUGCAAUGUUUCAUCUUCAUCUCAGAGUGGAAGUCUAUACAGGGCAUCCUUGAAGAAGAUGAAUCGUGAGGCAACAUUGAGGGCUUCUAUGAUUUCCGUACUGAGAACACAUGAUGCAGUGACUGACACAGCAACAACUUUUGGAAUUCCACGAACUACACUUUGCAAAGUGAAGUCAGUCACAAACAACAACAUCUCUCUUUGAUUUACAGGAACACUGUGUUUUG